CUGCAGCGCACGGAUGCGCUCAGGAUCAAGGAUGAUCGACCAUGGCCAGGACGGCGUUCCAAAAGGAUUUGGAUGGUCAGGAAAAACCCGCUUCGGCGGGUUUUUU
rnacentral:sRNA from 1 species